GUACUGAUGAAGAGUUCCAAACUAGGACGAAACAGAUGUCCAGUAC
rfam:Trichobilharzia regenti genome assembly, scaffold: TRE_scaffold0043539